AACGAACGCUGGCGGCAUGCCUUACACAUGCAAGUCGAACGGUAACGCGGGGCAACCUGGCGACGAGUGGCGAACGGGUGAGUAAUGCAUCGGAACGUGCCCAGUAGUGGGGGAUAGCCCGGCGAAAGCCGGAUUAAUACCGCAUACGACCUAAGGGUGAAAGCGGGGGAUCGCAAGACCUCGCGCUAUUGGAGCGGCCGAUGUCAGAUUAGGUAGUGGGUGGGGUAAAGGCCUACCAAGCCGACGAUCUGUAGCUGGACUGAGAGGCCGACCAGCCAUCCUGGAACUGAGACGCGGCCCAGACUCCGACGGGAGGCAGCAGUGGGGAAUGUUGGACAAUGGACGCAAGCCUGAUCCAGCCAGGCCGGGUGCGGGAAGAAGGCCUUCGGGUUGUAAACCGCUUUUGUCAGGGAAGAAAUCCUCUGGGGUAAUACCUCGGGGGGAUGACGGUACCUGAAGAAUAAGCACCGGCUAACUACGUGCCAGCCGCCGCUGUAA
rnacentral:rRNA from 1 species